rnacentral:rRNA from 1 species
UGUGAAGAAGGCCUUCGGGUUGUAAAGCACUUUUGUCCGGAAAGAAAACUUCGUCCCUAAUAUGGAUGGAGGAUGACGGUACCGGAAGAAUAAGCACCGGCUAACUACGUGCCAGCAGCCGCGGUAAUACGUAGGGUGCGAGCGUUAAUCGGAAUUACUGGGCGUAAAGCGUGCGCAGGCGGUCUGUUAAGACCGAUGUGAAAUCCCCGGGCUUAACCUGGGAACUGCAUUGGUGACUGGCAGGCUUUGAGUGUGGCAAAGGGGGGUAGAAUUCCACGUGUAGCAGUGAAAUGCGUAAAGAUGUGGAGGAAUACCGAUGGCGAAGGCAGCCCCCUGGGCCAACACUGACGCUCAUGCACAAAAGCGUGGGGAGCAAACAGGAUUAAAUACCCUGGUAGUCCACGCCCUAAACAAUGUCAACUAGUUGUUGGGGAUUCAUUUCCUUAGUAACGUACCUAACGCGUGAAGUUGACCGCCUGGGGAGUACGGUCGCAAGAUUAAAACUCAAAGGAAUUGACGGGGACCCGCACAAGCGGUGGAUGAUGUGGAUUAAUUCGAUGCAACGCGAAAAACCUUACCUACCCUUGACAUGGUCGGAACCC